UCCUCAGGCCCUGCCCCAGCACUUGGCACUGUCAGCAUGGUUGGCUCUGCUUGCUGUCAACAUUCUUCCUAGCCCCCAGGCCAGGCCCAGGGAGCUGGCAAAGUGUAGACUCUGUGCAGGGGCAGCAAAGAGACCAUCUCCCCCCAUCUCUGGGACACCUGUGUCACCUCUGUGCCCAUGGACACUGCUGUGGGACCCGGCUAACCCCAUCUUUCCACCAAGAAGCACCCCUGGAGUAGGGAAGGAUGGAGCAAGGAGGAGGCCUUCUGGGCAGGGAGGUCAUGGAGGUUGG
rnacentral:lncRNA from 1 species